GACGAACGCUGGCGGCGUGCUUAACACAUGCAAGUCGAACGGAGUGGCGAACGGGUGAGUAACACGCGGGUGAUCUGCCUUGCACUUCGGGAUAAGCUUGGGAAACUGGGUCUAAUACCGGAUAGUGCAAGAUGCGCUAGCGGCCUAUCAGCUUGUUGGUGGGGUAAUGGCCUACCAAGGCGUCGACGGGUAGCCGGCCUGAGAGGGUGUACGGCCACGUUGGGACUGAGAGACCGCCCAGACUCCUACGUGAGGCAGCAGUGUGGAAUAUUGCGCAAUGGGCGGAAGCGUGAUGCAGCGACGCAGGGUGGGGGAUGAAGGGCUUAGGGUUGUAAACUCCUUUAGACAGGGACGCGGUACCUGGAUAAGAAGCACCGGCUAACUACGUGCCAGCAGCCGCGGUAAUUC
rnacentral:rRNA from 1 species